rnacentral:rRNA from 1 species
GAGUUUGAUCGUGGCUCAGGAUGAACGCUGGCGGCGUGCUUAACACAUGCAAGUCGAGCGAAGCACUUGAACCUGAUUCUUCGGAUGAAAGUUCAUUUGACUGAGCGGCGGACGGGUGAGUAACGCGUGGGUAACCUGCCUCAUACAGGGGGAUAACAGUUAGAAAUGACUGCUAAUACCGCAUAAGACCACGGUGCCGCAUGGCAGAGUGGUAAAACUCCGGUGGUAUGAGAUGGACCCCGCGUCUGAUUAGGUAGUUGGUGGGUAACGGCCUACCAAGCCGACGAUCAGUAGCCGACCUGAG